rnacentral:lncRNA from 1 species
GUCUUUGUCAUUAUCCUCCGUGCUGAUGGCCGUGUCCCCUCAUCUACUGGAAAAGCAACGGAUGGCUGGAGAUUUUCAUCGAUCUACAUUUCGACAUUGCCUUGAAUGACUCAGCGUCAGUGCAUAUGCCCACAGAGAAGCCUUCCUCUCUGUUCUGCAUUGUCCCCAUCUUUAAAGGCCACAGCCUCCUCUCCUUGAUGCUGUUUGUUUACUUCGAGGAUUCCCGGACUCCAAGGCUUCUUCUAUUCCCCUGAAUCCUUUAGCUUUACUGCUUGUUUGGUAUUUGCCUCCUCCCCGUGAAAGUUCUCUUACUUUGUUGAACGAAUGGAGAUUCCUCCAGCCUCCUCUGUAGUAUUUGUCGAUGUACAAGUUUCAUCAACGGACUACGGAUUCUCCACAGACGCAAUGCAGAUAAUAAACAUUUGAAAUGGUUCAUCUACAAAACCCUCAUAGUCACCAACCACGAGUAGACCUUCAAACGCGCCUCGGAUUCUCUUUAAUACAGUAUGCUUUAUGCCUGUCAAUAUAUACUUCCCUGUCCCAAACUAAUUUUAACUGGAUAGCCUUUUCUACUCCACAGAGAACAGAAAAGAGGAAGAAUAAGCUCGUCCUUUCCUCUCCAAAUCUAUGCAUUACCAUGUGAAUCCUGACUAUUUACAUCCUUAUUUCUGUAGAGCAGGAGGUCUAUAGCUGGGCAUGGCUGCUCACCCCUGUAACCCCAGAAAUGCAGAAUCACAAGGAUUACCCUGAGUAUGAGGCUAACCUAAGCUGCACGGUGAGUUCCUCAGCUUCAUAGUGAGCUCUAGGCCGUCAGGGGCUUGGCCAUAUGAGACCCCAUUUCUAAAAAGCGUGGGCAAAGUGCCAAGAUGGGUCAGCAGGUAUAGGAGCUUGCUACUAAGUCCAACGACCUGAGCUUGACUCCCAUGAUGGCCAUGUUGAGUCUUUUACGUUGUCCUCUGACGUCCACACACAUGCCAUGGUAUGUGUACACCCGACACUGAAGUAAAUAAAUGUAAGUUUU